rnacentral:rRNA from 1 species
AACGAACGCUGGCGGCAUGCCUAACACAUGCAAGUCGAACGAGACCUUCGGGUCUAGUGGCGCACGGGUGCGUAACGCGUGGGAACCUGCCCUUAGGUUCGGAAUAACUCCCCGAAAGGGGUGCUAAUACCGGAUAAUGUCUUCGGACCAAAGAUUUAUCGCCUUUGGAUGGGCCCGCGUUGGAUUAGCUAGUUGGUAGGGUAAAAGCCUACCAAGGCGACGAUCCAUAGCUGGUCUGAGAGGAUGAUCAGCCACACUGGGACUGAGACACGGCCCAGACUCCUACGGGAAGCAGCAGUGGGGAAUAUUGGACAAUGGGCGAAAGCCUGAUCCAGCAAUGCCGCGUGAGUGAUGAAGGCCUUAGGGUUGUAAAGCUCUUUUACCCGGGAUGAUAAUGACAGUACCGGGAGAAUAAGCUCCGGCUAACUCUGUG